rnacentral:rRNA from 1 species
AUUGAACGCUGGCGGCAGGCUUAACACAUGCAAGUAGAACGAGUGGAGGACGGGGGAGUAAUGCUUGGGAAUCUAGCUUCUGGAGGGGGAUAAGUACGGGAAACUGUAGCUAAUACCGCGUACCAUAGGAUGAGCCCAAGUGGGAUUAGGUAGUUGGUGAGGUAAAGGAUCACCAAGCCGACGAUCUCUAGCUGGUCUGAGAGGAUGACCAUCCACACUGGGACUGAUACACGGCCAAGACUCCUACGGGAGGCAGCAGUGGGGAAUAUUGCGCAAUGGUGGCACCCUAACGCGGCCAUGCCGCGUGAAUGAAGAAGGCCUUCGGGUUGUAAAGUUCUUUCGGUAGCGAGGCGUUAACUACAGAAGAAGCACCGGCUAACUCCGUGCCAGCAGCCGCGGUAAUUC